rnacentral:tRNA from 1 species
CGGGCACGACUAGGGCUGGAACCUGCUUUGGGAGCAGGAGACCGCAGGUUCGAGUCCUGUCGCCCCGACCA